AACCACUCACGCCUAGCGUGGUAUUGGGGCACGCGGUCUCGCGGCCCUCAAAAUUAGUGGCGGCGCCGGUGGGCUCUAAGCGUAGUACAUACUCCCGCUAUAGAGUUCCCCCGGUGGAUGCUUGCCAUCAACCCCUAAUUUUCUAU
rnacentral:misc_RNA from 1 species